rnacentral:rRNA from 1 species
CCCUACGGGGUGCAGCAGGCGCGAAACCUUUACAAUGUGCGAAAGCAUGAUAAGGGAACUCCGAGUGCCAGUAUCUAAUACUGGCUGUCCUUGUGCCUAAAACGCACAAGAUAGCAAGGGCCGGGUAAGACCGGUGCCAGCCGCCGCGGUAACACCGGCGGCCCGAGUGGUAGCCGCUAUUAUUGGGUCUAAAGGGUCCGUAGCCGGUUCGAUAAGUCCUCUGGGAAAUCUGGUUGCUUAACAAUCAGACUGCCAAGGGAUACUGUCAAACUUGAGACCGGGAGAGGUAAGAGGUACUUCAGGGGUAGGAGUGAAAUCUUGUAAUCCCUGGGGGACCAUCUGUGGCGAAGGCGUCUUACCAGAACGGGUCUGACGGUGAGGGACGAAAGCUGGGGGCGCAAACCGGAUUAGAUACCCGGGUAGUCCCAGCCGUAAGCGAUGCUCGCUAUGUGUCAGGUACGGUGUGACCGUAUCUGGUGCCGUAGGGAAGCCGUGAAGCGAGCCACCUGGGAAGUACGGCCGCAAGGCUGAAACUUAAAGGAAUUGGCGGGGGAGCAC